CUGGGUGUUCCGCAGAUGGUUAUACAGGCUUGCUUUGGGAGCAAGUGUUCGUGAGUUCGAAUCUCACUACUCAGAC
rnacentral:tRNA from 1 species